CAACAGCCCAAGAAAAUAUUUUUACUCCUAAGAGGCAUGUUACUUAAUAUUACUUAAUAUGCAUGUUACCUUUUUCAGUCUUCUUCUUUGGUUUCAGCUCUCUUGGGAGUCUUCUCCAGUCUUCACAAAAUAUACAAGUUUUAGUUAUUUUUAAUAGUUUAUGCUCCUUCACAUUAAAGGUAUUUCUAUGACCAAAGACAUUUUAUUCAGAACAGUAGCAAGACUUUCCCAUCCUGGCGCUUGCCAGUGGAGAUCAUGGGACUGUAGUCCAGCGAUUCAGGGACGUAGCAUGGAGGGAAUGGCCCCGGGCACAUUUUUCUGGAGGAUCCUGCUCACGCCAUCAUGCCAGCCCUGUGCCACUUUGCGAGGCUGGGAUCUGAUUUGAAUGAUUUGCUGGGUGAAUCAUUUCAGAUCAGAUCCCAGCAUCAUAAAGCAGUUCGAGGGUGGCAGGGUGGUUGUGAGACAAACAUAACAGCCAUGCACCCUUCGAUCCCAGCCUUGCAAAGUGAGGCCCAAGAUGGCCACUGGUGUCCCAGUUCCAGCUAUCAAGCUUCUGUUUGAAUGUGGAUAGUAUCAUUACUUGAGAAUUGGCAAUGCUGAGAAAAGGGAAUGGCAGAAGUUUGAUAUGUGGGCUAUUUACUGAGAAAUAUGGCCCUCAGUAUUUUGUACACAGCUCAAGAUGCACAUUUUGACUGAGAAGACCUGAAAUGACUCAGGGGAGUCAACAUAUACUAGACCAGGGAGGAGGAAACUUGUGCCUCUCUGACUGGUGCUUAACAAAAACUUCCUUUAUCCAUGACCACUGCUCAUGCUGAUUGAGUCCCACAAGUUCACUAGCCCUGUUCUAGACAAACUUGGCCUCACCACAAUUAUAGGCCCUCCAUCUUUCAAAUACCUGUGACAAAGGAAUGUGCUGUACUCCUGAGGGACCACUGGGAAGCAGUCCUUUCUCUGGAAAGAUGUGAAAAUAUGGGAAUGAGUCUAUCAGCUCUGAAUGAGUGUUUGUGGUUGGUUGAAGUGGAAAAGAAUUCUAGGUGUAAAUGCACUUUUUAAAAAAUACCACUCAGCUCUGGGUGAGAGGUAUUUAUUUAGGUUUACAUUUUUUACUAGCUGAAUAGCACAGAGGAACCUAAAACAAACAAUGAACCAACCAUGAAAUGAGUUUUACAUCUAAAUACUGGAAAACAAUGGAAAAUUCUAUGCCAAAAUUAACUGGAAUUUACGUUUCCUUACCUGGGGUCCAUUCUAGGUCCUUUUCAUUCAUCUGCAAGUAUUUUUUGCUGUAUCUUUCAACAGGUACAAAACCUGAAGACAAAAACCUAGAGUUGUGAAAUAUACAUACUAUAAAUUCAGACAAAGCCAAUGCAGAACCACAAUCUUUAUUUAGUUAAAAUGCACAAAGGACUAUUUUCAGGGGGGAAAUCCCUCUUCUGCUUUGCUCAUGAUAACAUAUUUGUGCAUUAAUUUUGUAUAAGGCUCUCAAGAAAAACCUUGGGGAUUUUAUGGGGAUAACCACCUUCGUUUGAAGGAUUUGGAUCACAAACAGAACUAGAAGACGGGUUAGAACAUGUCCAGAUCGGAGGGGUACAGAUUCAAUGGCACCUUAACACUGUUCUUCAAGAAAUUACUGAUUGCACCCUUAGUUACACAGGAUUAAUUCUAUUACAGAAAAAAUUGCAUGCACAAUACUUUCCAGAAUAAAAUGAUACGGCAAACUAA